GUGCCCUUAAUGCGAUUCAAACAAGUUUGACGUCGGUUUGGUCAGCGUCGGCGCAACUGUUCUCUGCUUCUGUUUAUAUUUCAUUGAGUGCAGUUAUUUACGUCGUCAUUGUUUUCCUGCCUUGUCUUUGUUGUUGUCGCCAUGCCUAUAUGGCUGCUACUCUUUUUCCUUUUCAUUUUUCGCGGUACGUUUUCCUUUUUUUUCUAUUUGUUCGUUAGCAUUCUGGUUUAAAAAUUUUGAGGAGUUGAAGUUGUGUGAUAUUGUUGUUGUCAUACGUGCAGCUAGCUGCUAGAUGGAGCAUUUUUUGUAGAAUCAGCAGGAGACAGAUAGCCGUUGUGCGAAUCUGUAGCACUGAAGGAAUCACUUGUGCGCGCGCCAUCGAAAUGAACGGUUGUUUUUAUAUCUCGUCCGCUAGUAAAGAGACUUCAGUAAAGCCGGUAGGAUCGUCAAGUCGAAUUAUAGAGCAGCAUAUAAUAGUGUAGCACAAUAAUUGACGUUGUAACGAAUGUUCUUGUUGGGACAUAUUAAUUUACAGUUACACUAGCGUGGGAGGAGUUCUUUAUCAUUUUCAGUGAACAUUGCAUUUGUGUAUAUCAAUUAUUAGGAAAAAAAUAAUUUUGAAAAACCGUUAUGUUAUUUUGCUUAUCGCAACAUUACAGUGCCUUACCAACUUUCCGUGUAUUAUUUGAAAUGUGUUUUUUUUUUCAUAUUGUCAAAAAGUACGUGAAAUUGGAAUUAAACAUAAAAACAUUUUAUUUAUCUACACUAAUUGGCAAAUAAAUAACCUUGAUUUAAUCAGUGAUUCAGCAAUUUUAUGUUAAACUUUUCAUCUGUAAAAAUAUUCAAGUGUAUGCAAACAGAAAAAUCCACAAUAAGCUUUGAAUGGCGCUUCCAAAACGUACGUUACCCCAUUUGAAAUUUAAAGCAAUAUUCCUCAAUAGUCAGGAGUUAGAGUUUAUGAAAAUGAUAAAUUUUCUAACAAAAGUGAUUUGGUGAACAGCGCCCGAACAGUUUUAAAAAAUUUGGAGAAAUUGAAAUUUUAAUAAGGUUGAGUAUGUGAAGUAUACAAAAAACACUUAUUAUUACAAAAAAAACUUUAAAAUUAACAAAGAUGAAAUUAUCCUGUUAAAAAAAUAAAUUCUCGCAUCUGUAAUAACAAUUAAAAUGUAUAAUAAAUUUUGAUUUACGAAUUGAUUUUGGUCUUACUGUAAAAUAUUUAGAGAAUUUGAAAGAAAUAAGUGAAUUUUAAAAUUCUAUCGUUUUAUUUUUACUACCAACAGUCAUAAUUUUUAUUUCACAAUUUCAUUUACGAAUGUAUGUUCAAUUUAAGCAAAUAAAAAGUCCUACAUUUCAAAAUUCCUGAAAAUAUAAGUAUGCAUACCGACAUACAAAUUUUUUUAUAUUCAACUGAAAAUAAUUAACUUUCCUCGUGCAUACCAACUAAAAAUAGCGCCCCCAUAAGAUGCUCACCUUCCUUAUCGAUUUUACCAUACGCUUUCUCAUUCAUUUCAUGUAUUUUUUAUUAUUUAAUUUAUUUUUCUAUAGCAAAGAAAAUUUUCUCUACCUACAUUUUGUACAUAUUAAAUUAAAACAUAAAAGUAAAUAUUUAAUAGUAAAUAAAAUAUCUCAAAUAACGAAAGAGCGUGAGAGCUAGUUGAGAGUUCGAAACUAAGAGCGUGCUAAAUAACUUCUGCAUCAGCGUAUGUGUGUGAAGAGAGUUAAUAAGCGGGGCAAAAAACGAAUAUAAAAUAGAAAAUUAUUGUUCGCAUAUUUAAACAAAAAAUUAAAUUAAAUAAAAAAUCAAACGCACACACACAUGCACAAACAUUUAAUAAAAUACAAUGAUACAAUUAAAUAUAUAGUAUUAUAAUUAGAAAUAAAUUCAAUUGUCGCUUACG